rnacentral:rRNA from 1 species
CCAACUUCGGUUAUAAGAUCCCUCAAAGAUGAUGAGGUGAAUAGGUUCGAGGUGGAAGCGUAGCGAUACGUGGAGCUGACGAAUACUAAUCGAUCGAAGACUUAAUCAA